AUUUCCCAUCCAAUCAAAUCUCCCUCUCAUACAGAAGUUUGGAGUGUUUCUUCACUAGUUAGGUUUUUUUUAUGCUCCCACAUUUCUCUCCCACUCUUCGUCACUUCCUAACCGUCAUCUACCUUGAAGGUAUCAAGCAGAUUGAAGUUAUUGGGGACGAAGCCCCUCUCACCUAUCCCCCAUCCUCUCUAUCAUCCGUCCUCUAUACACUCGUUACAACCUCGGAGGAGACUGAUACUGGGUUUCGUUGGUAGUUGGUUUGGCUGAAUUUGUUCUUUAUUUUAAUCUUGCAUUGGAAGAAUCAACUAUUCAAGAAUGAGGCCUCUAUUUCAAUUUGUUCAUCAAUUCAGGUGAGCAAUCUUGGAUUUGGUGCUAAUCAUCUUUUUCUUUUCAUGUAGAACUGUGCAUUUGUAUGAAUUUGUUUUUAUUUUGUUUUUAUUCAUCCUACAUACCCUCAAAUAGUUAGAUAGACAAUUGUAAAUAUGCGAGAAUUGGUAAUUUUAUCAUCGGGCCACAACCUGUUUGAUUUGUAAACAUAUGAAAAGAUUAAUUUUAGAGUUUGAAAGUAAUGAAGCUUUAAUUGUACUGGAAUUAGUGAUAAUCAAUAGUGCAAGAGCACCGUGGUUCAGUUCAGUUUGCUAUUAUGAUGGAUUAAGAAGCAUGAGUUAGCUUUUAAAUUCUUCAAAUUAAUAAAGUAUGCUUCAUGAGUUGUAUCUUGCAUGUGCUUUGAUUGUUCUAAGCAUGCUUAUAAGGUGUUCGAUCAAAUGCCUAUAGCUUAUUUUGAGAUUAUUAUGUUAUAUCAACGAUGGUUCCUCUUUCCUUUUGCGUUAAAUCAACCCAAUGCUUGCGAAUUGGCACCGUCUACUUGAACAAACCCUAAUUUUUUCAUAACAUCGCAAGUUCAAGAACUUGACAGAUUUCACUACUUUUGUCGCUGACGAUUAUACCCACUACAAGAAAUUCAAGCAUUAGCGGUGACAUCUAAAAAGUCGCCGCUAAAAGUCUUGAUCCAGUACACGGGCUUUGCAACUGAUCUGGGUCGUUGUUUGCUUAACUGAUCGAAGGACUAGGGUUUAUCCCUGAAUAAAACAUGUGUAAAAAGCUCACACAACCAGUUUAGUGGCAUUUUUCCCUCUUUUCCCUCCAAGAUGAAAUCUGCACACACCACAACUCAUCAUCUCCACCGUCGCACCGUUGCACAACCUUGAGUCUGCCGGAGCACUACCGCACCGCUGCACCGCCUUCACUCUGCCGGAGCACCUCCAUCUCGCCUGAUUCUCCGACGCCACUUCGAAAACGGUACGAAUAUUCCAAAUUGCUUUGUAAUUUCAGUUGUUAUGUUAGUAAUUUGAGUAGAUCUGUUGUUGAUUUCAUGAUGUUUGACUGUUUUUUAGUCAAAUAUAAGUAUGGUUAGGGUUGCAGGUCUGGGUGCGGGUUGGGGGUUGGGUUGGGCUUUUUUUCAGAACACAAGGGUUGGGCUAGGCUAUUUAUACAUGGCAAUAGAUGUAUUUCCAGUAGGUACCAAAGAGAAGUUAGAUUAGGAGAAGGAGAGGUGCACAAAUCGGGUUUUUGGCUCAAAUUGGUUCGGUUGAAACCUUGUGGGGUUAGCUCAAAGAAAGUCAAACCCGGUUUUUGGUGAAAUAAGUUCGGGUUCUGACCAGGCUUUAAAGCUGAUAAUCAUAUUUUCAUUAUCAAUACACUUUUACUCUAUUAUUUUGACAUAUUAUCUUGCAGUUUUUAUGAAUAUCGGCACCUUUUUACAUAAGUUUUUAACUAUCAUUUUUUAAGUUUGAAAUUGCGUGAGAUUGCAAAUAAAAAACUAGGUUUCAUUUGGUUAUGAAAUCUCUUGAGGCCAAGCUCUAUUAGUUGCUGAAAUAGAUCUUUUCGAAAACGGACCGAUUGUUUUCGCCACUGGUAUAGGUGGAAAGGGGUACAUCUAGUAAAAACCUAGGUAACAGGGUAAGUUUAGCACAAUCCACUGUGAUGGUAAUGCGGCUUUUACACCUCCACCACCAACAGCUAGCAGGUAGAUCGCAGAGAACAUCAACACAGCUUUUUCUCCGCUUACUUUCUCGCAAUUUGUUGUUGGUAGAAACUAUGUUGUCAAAAGCGCAAAAAGCGCGCGCCUAGGCGCCCGGGCGCAGCGAGGCGCACCUAUAGCGCCUGGUGGUAGCCUAGGCGCAAAAAUGGGUUUUUUUUUGAAAAAAACACUGCUGAGGCGCAAAAAGGCGCGCGCCUAGGCGCAAAAACGGUGCUGAGGCGCAGUGGAUAAGCAGGAAAACUGAAAAAAAUGAAACCGAGUGCGUGCAAAAACUAUUAUAUAUGAUCUUAAAUGGCAUAUAUAAUAGUUUUUUUUAAUUUUAUAUGUGGAAUCUUAUUUAUUUUCAAAGCAUAACAUAUUUUUUAUAUUUUUUUCUCUAUGUGCGCUUUUCUUAAAAAAGCCCACACUUUUUUUGCGCCUAGGCUCCGGGCGAGGCCGAUGCGCCUCGCCUGCGCCUUGCGUCUUUGACAACAUAGGGUAGAAAGAUGUUACAAGCAGGUGGUUUCAACUCCGGGUAGUGAGCUUGAGCUGUGAGUAAUGCAAGCCCCAGCUUGAGCUUGAGCUCUGUGAGUAAUGUAAACCGCUAUUGCGAGAAUUCUUUGUAGUGACCCCUGAGAUCGAAGAAAUUCAAGACUGAAAAGAGGAAGGUGAAUAAGCAAUUGGUAGCGUUGACUGAAACGAUGACGUUAUCAAGAUAAAUUAUCACGAUCUGUCUUUGAAUUGGGUUUGUCUCAAAAAUCUUAUAAUUAAUGAAAAAUUUUGGUUGCUGGGUACAAGUUAUUACAUAUUUGUCUACAAGUUUUGAACUUUUGCUUAACAGACCAGGCUUCACCUCAUAGAUCACAUCUUAGUAAAUAAAUUAUAGGUUAGUCAUUGAUUUUUUUUAUAAUAUGAGUUGUUUGUUUUGUAUUUGAUCUCUAAAAGGUCAAAUCGUUUUUAUGCGAUCUAUUGCUCUCUGCCUCUCUCAGUUGACCUCCAUUGCUCAUCCUGUUACAUUUUUUUAUGGGCAAACUGUAUAGAUAGGUAAUCAGACCAAUGAACUUCAUCAAUUGGCGCCAGUGACUUUCUGCUUGAUAGUCGCAUUGUGUAGUGACAAGUUGGGUCUAAGCCUUGAACUGGGUAGCUUUGCUACUGGAGUGAUGAUAUCAACAACUGAUCUUGCUCACCUUACUCUUGAACGAUGUCUAGCAUAUUCCUGACGGUAAGGUUGAACUUUGCGGGUGGUGCUUCAAUGCGUUUAAGAAAUUAGGACUACCUUCUUCAGCAGAAUUUUGUGGAAGGAAGUAAUCAAUUAAGAAGGAUGGCUUCAUCAUGUUUACCUUCUGCCUUCUGAAACACACAGGUGAACGGGAACCAGACAGUGACACAUAUUGAUGAUACUAAAAAAAAUUAAAUUUAUAAAACUCCUACUGUAAAAGAAGACCCUGGAUUGUUUUAUACAUGGUUAGACUCUACUAUGAAGGUGUGACUCAAUUCAACAGUCAAUACUUGUGUAGUCACUACCAAGUAAUUGUUAGUACCAUUGCUUAAAAGCGUUAGCAUGGGGAUCAUUUUACUUGUAUGAAGAUUGUCAAAGAGGUUCAGAACUCAAUGGAUGAAUGGAAUUCGAGUUUUUAUUCAAACAUUUAUGGGUUGUUUUUUUAUGUUUGAUAUUUAGACUUAAUUUGACAUUAACUCUAUAUAUAUAUAUAUUUUU